rnacentral:rRNA from 1 species
CAUGCGGUGCUUACCAUGCAAGUCGAACGAUGAAGCCCAGCUUGCUGGGUGGAUUAGUGGCGAACGGGUGAGUAACACGUGAGUAACCUAGCCCUUAACUCUGGGAUAAGCCUAGGGAAACUAGGGUCUAAUACCGGAUAGGAGCGUCCACCGCAUAGGUAGGGUAGUUGGAAAGAUUUAUCGGUUUUGGAUGGACUCGCGGCCUAUCAGCUUGUUGGUGAGGUAAUGGCUCACCAAGGCGACGACGGGUAGCCGGCCUGAGAGGGUGACCGGCCACACUGGGACUGAGACACGGCCCAGACUCCUACGGGAGGCAGCAGUGGGGAAUAUUGCACAAUGGGCGAAAGCCUGAUGCAGCGACGCCGCGUGAGGGAUGACGGCCUUCGGGUUGUAAACCUCUUUCAGUAGGGAAGAAGCGAAAGUGACGGUACCUGCAGAAGAAGCACCGGCUAACUACGUGCCAGCAGCCGCGGUAAUACGUAGGGUGCGAGCGUUAUCCGGAAUUAUUGGGCGUAAAGAGCUCGUAGGCGGUUUGUCGCGUCUGUCGUGAAAGUCCGGGGCUUAACCCCGGAUCUGCGGUGGGUACGGGCAGACUAGAGUGCAGUAGGGGAGACUGGAAUUCCUGGUGUAGCGGUGGAAUGCGCAGAUAUCAGGAGGAACACCGAUGGCGAAGGCAGGUCUCUGGGCUGUAACUGACGCUGAGGAGCGAAAGCAUGGGGAGCGAACAGGAUUAGAUACCCUGGUAGUCCAUGCCGUAAACGUUGGGCACUAGGUGUGGGGACCAUUCCACGGUUUCCGCGCCGCAGCUAACGCAUUAAGUGCCCCGCCUGGGGAGUACGGCCGCAAGGCUAAAACUCAAGGAAUUGACGGGGGCCCGCACAAGCGGCGGAGCAUGCGGAUUAAUUCGAUGCAACGCGAGAACCUUACCACGGCUUGACAUGUUCUCGAUCGCCGUAGAGAUACAGCUUCCCCCUUUUUGCGGGAAGAACACCGAUGGCGAAGGCAGGUCUCUGGGCUGUAACUGACGCUGAGGAGCGAAAGCAUGGGGAGCGAACAGGAUUAGAUACCCUGGUAGUCCAUGCCGUAAACGUUGGGCACUAGGUGUGGGGACCAUUCCACGGUUUCCGCGCCGCAGCUAACGCAUUAAGUGCCCCGCCUGGGGAGUACGGCCGCAAGGCUAAAACUCAAAGGAAUUGACGGGGGCCCGCACAAGCGGCGGAGCAUGCGGAUUAAUUCGAUGCAACGCGAAGAACCUUACCAAGGCUUGACAUGUUCUCGAUCGCCGUAGAGAUACGGUUUCCCCUUUGGGGCGGGUUCACAGGUGGUGCAUGGUUGUCGUCAGCUCGUGUCGUGAGAUGUUGGGUUAAGUCCCGCAACGAGCGCAACCCUCGUUCCAUGUUGCCAGCACGUCGUGGUGGGGACUCAUGGGAGACUGCCGGGGUCAACUCGGAGGAAGGUGAGGACGACGUCAAAU